CCAGCUUCUAAUGUUGGCAUUUGGACUUUUAGACGCACCAGAAGAUAGAAGCACAAGAUCGAGGAGAAAAGGUGCAUCAAAAACAUGGUCUAUGGAAUAUUUAGAAAUUUACAAUUUUAUACUCUACAAAGGACAAGAGUUCUGCUGGUUUUGACUGUGAUGUCAGACAUCUAGAUAUAUACAAAGACAAGGACGAUGCUGCAUUUCUUUUACACUCCACAUUUCAUCUGACAUCACAUGACAGGUGAGAACCAAUGACUUCUGGAUGGGUAGAUGAAAAAGAAAGAUCUUUCUUCACUGGCCAAUACUGACACAUACUAACUGAAAAUUACUGGUCAUGGGAGGUGGUGC